rnacentral:rRNA from 1 species
UACGUAGGUGGCGAGCGUUGUCCGGAUUUACUGGGCGUAAAGCGCGCGCAGGCGGUCCUUUAAGUCUGAUGUGAAAGCCCACGGCUCAACCGUGGAGGGUCAUUGGAAACUGGGGGACUUGAGUACAGAAGAGAAGAGUGGAAUUCCACGUGUAGCGGUGAAAUGCGUAGAGAUGUGGAGGAACACCAGUGGCGAAGGCGACUCUUUGGUCUGUAACUGACGCUGAGGCGCGAAAGCGUGGGGAGCGAACAGG